GUUGAACUCAGCUCCGUCGAGUGUUUUCUUCAUUCUGCACAAUCCGAAAGGCCCUCCAGUCGUGCAAUCUCAGACUUGUGAUAGGUACUUUUUGAUCAAGUCUUGGCGUGGAAUAAAUCCUCUAUCCUUCGCGGAAGAUCCACAGUGCAGUAACAUUAGCCUAAUUACCGAGUUGUUAAUUGAGUUGAACGUCACUACCUUCCGAUAUUGAUUUAUUCGCAGAAGAAGGUCGAAUUAAUCCCGAUUCGGGAUAGCAAUGAUUCGAGCUCGUCUGCUGCGGAGAAUGCGGAGACAUUACAUCAAUAAUAAGGAAUCUGGAUACUUCGAGACACAAAAACGAGCCAUGUCGAGUCCUAGUUCUUCCUUUGCGCUGUUGGAUUUGGUCAAGAACAACUUCAUAAACGUUUUGCUGCGCGUCAAGUCAAUGUUGCAACAGGCAUAGAGCUGGCCUCACUCAAUUCCACAUGGGUUUCGUCAGCUUUGUGAUAUUUCCAGAAUGUGUUUGGCUAAGAAGUAAUUACACGCUGGUCCUGGGAGAGGAUAAUAGUGAGAAUCGAGUAGUCUGUCAUAGCUAUUUGUAGUAAUGAUUGUGUAUUUUUUCCUAAUUUGUAGCCGUGGCUUAGACCCAAUCGAGGCAGGAUCAGAUUUCGAUAGUUUAGAUAGUUCAAUAAAUAAUUCAAAUAGUUUAGAUAGUCCAAUAAAUUAAUAUGGAUGCAUACAAAAGCUCAAUAUAUUCAUAACAAUAUAUGUAUUAAAGCUGGGUUAACAUAACAUGUUCAGGGUUUAUGUUGAACCAACGUUGAACCGACUGCUUAUACUGGGUAAUACUGGCCGAUUUUAUAUUUGUUUACUAUUGUUAUCGCGUACUAUGUACGAAGAAUUCGUAUUGCAAACAUUUACUAAAUAUAGAUAUUUAUCAAAAAGCUUGUCAUAUAUACCAACUUUUCGGAAGAGUGUAUGAUCGGCGAUUAUGAUGAGCACGAGUAAUCGCUCUGUUUACACAAACGAGAGCGUGAAGUGUAAACCAGAAAAACAUCGGUGGAUGAACUCUGUGUAUUCAUAAUGAAUUCUACCAAAAAUUUUACAGUGGCGUGCAAUCCGGAAUAAGGUUCUACUCACUCCAAAUUGUUUUCACGUGUAGUGUAUUCGGUAAUAAGACCCUAUGUGUUUCCAUAUACACGUGUACAAUGACGCGUCGUUGUAAUGGAUGCUCAAUUUUUUUUUUCAGGAAAAAAUGAAUAAAACGCAUUUCACAUUGGCGAUCUAACGUACAAA